AGUAACAACGACUCCAUCUUGCUUGCUAACAUUUUUUAUGUCUCUGGAGGAGACUGAAAUUGACAACUACUUUGAAGAACUGAACUUGUUCCUUCUUUUCUGAGAAAGAAGCAAGGGUCUCUUUUUCUAAUAACAGCUUUGUGUACCAUAUAAAGGCAUAAGUGCUAUUUAAUUGGUAUGAAGGGUAAACUAACAAAGAUUCAGUUAAUGUACCA
rnacentral:lncRNA from 1 species